AUUGAACGCUGGCGGCAGGCCUAACACAUGCAAGUCGAACGGUAACAGGAAGCAGCUUGCUGCUUCGCUGACGAGUGGCGGACGGGUGAGUAAUGUCUGGGAAACUGCCUGAUGGAGGGGGAUAACUACUGGAAACGGUAGCUAAUACCGCAUAACGUCGCAAGACCAAAGAGGGGGACCUUCGGGCCUCUUGCCAUCAGAUGUGCCCAGAUGGGAUUAGCUAGUAGGUGGGGUAACGGCUCACCUAGGCGACGAUCCCUAGCUGGUCUGAGAGGAUGACCAGCCACACUGGAACUGAGACACGGUCCAGACUCCUACGGGAGGCAGCAGUGGGGAAUAUUGCACAAUGGGCGCAAGCCUGAUGCAGCCAUGCCGCGUGUAUGAAGAAGGCCUUCGGGUUGUAAAGUACUUUCAGCGGGGAGGAAGGUGCUGAGGUUAAUAACCUCAGCAAUUGACGUUACCCGCAGAAGAAGCACCGGCUAACUCCGUGCCAGCAGCCGCGGUAAUACGGAGGGUGCAAGCGUUAAUCGGAAUUACUGGGCGUAAAGCGCACGCAGGCGGUCUGUCAAGUCGGAUGUGAAAUCCCCGGGCUCAACCUGGGAACUGCAUUCGAAACUGGCAGGCUAGAGUCUUGUAGAGGGGGGUAGAAUUCCAGGUGUAGCGGUGAAAUGCGUAGAGAUCUGGAGGAAUACCGGUUGCGAAUGCGGCCCCCUGGACAAAUACUGACUCUCAGGUGCGAAAGCGUGGUGGAGCAUCAUG
rnacentral:rRNA from 1 species